GCAGUAGCCGCGGUAAUACGAGGGGAGCUAGCGUUGUUCGGGAUUACUGGGCGUAAAGCGCGCGUAGGCGGCUUUUUAAGUCAGAGGUGAAAGCCCGGGGCUCAACCCCGGAAUUGCCUUUGAAACUGGAAAGCUAGAAUCUUGGAGAGGUCAGUGGAAUUCCGAGUGUAGAGGUGAAAUUCGUAGAUAUUCGGAAGAACACCAGUGGCGAAGGCGACUGACUGGACAAGUAUUGACGCUGAGGUGCGAAAGCGUGGGAAGCAAACAGGAUUAGAUACCCCCGUAGUCCCUGUCUCUUAUAC
rnacentral:rRNA from 1 species